rnacentral:lncRNA from 1 species
CGUAACCUCCUCGCACUUCUGUUUUAUUUGCGGGAGGUUUUGGUCAUUUUGAUACUCACUUUGUGUGAUUAGCUGCUCUCAGUUGUUUUCUUUUCAGUUUUAUUAAUACAUAGCCACUGGCUCUACCGUUUAUCCAAAAAAAUAAAAAAUAAAACAAAAAGGAAAACAUAGUCUCAGAGUUUAAAAUCUAUUGAACAGAACUUUGGGCUUUGCCCUCCCCCACGGAUCGCCACACACACUGUCACGCUCCGAACCCAACACCCN